ACACAAUAGGUAAGUCUGACUCAUGUUUUCUGCUCUUAAACACUAUGCUAAACUCUUGUGGAUCUUUAUGUGCGAAAUAAUAUCUUUUCAUGACACAUGAAACAAAACUACAUGGGAGAAGUACCAGAUGAUAAAGGAGAUAUUAAAAUAGAAUUGUUAUCUUGUGAGGGUAGAAGAGCCCUCAAUCCAAGAAGUCUUCUUAUGCUCCAUCCUGACACCUGCUGACUCCUCACUUCACUGCAUUAGAAGAAUAUGAAGAUGGCUAUGAAACAUGACUCGUAGGCUACCCGGAGGCCCAUCAGCUGUUGCGUCAAUAACUAACAUUUGGAGUGGUAGUGCAUUUUACUCAAAAUUUCAAGAAGACUGCUUUGAUUAUCGUUUGUUCUGUUCUCAGCAUGCUGUGGGAUUCAUCCUCUUGAAGUUAGGCCUAACCAUUUGACUUGGCAAAUAAAAUGUGGAUAAAAGUGAUGCCUUUAACAGCCAGCACACAAUUCUCCAUGUCCUUUUUCCCUGAUGCAGCAACCACUGAUAAUAAAGAGGAUGGACCCUUGUUAACUUGCAUUUUUGAGUAAGGAAAACAUGGAACAGAGCCCACGGCUGACCCAUGAUGAACAUGUAGCACAAGUGAGCAACAGAUCUUUGCUGUGAAUUCAGCUUUAUUUGCUGCUACUACUAACUAAACUUCUGAUCCAUAUAAUUACUUAACUUCUUUAUGUUAAGGCAUUUAUUAGAAUACACAGCUUUAAUGUCAAACAAACUUGGGUUCAAAUCCAGGCUCUGCCACUUUUUAGCCAGGUGACACUGGCAAGAUUCCCAGCUUCUCUGAACUUCCAUUUAGUUACCUAUGAAUUGAAGAUUAUAAUAGCUACUUCAAGUGGUGGCCAUAUGGAUUACAAUGAGAGAUCUAAAGGGCUGGUCAUAGUUCCUAGUACAUGG
rnacentral:lncRNA from 1 species